rnacentral:lncRNA from 1 species
UUUUUUUUUUUUUUUUUUUUUUUUUCUUUUAAUUGGGUCUUUGAGAAGAUGGCUGUUAGCUGAACCUACUGUGGUAAUCAUUUCACUAUAUAUGUAAAUCAAGCCAUCAUGCUGUAUGCCUUAUUCUUAAUUAAUGAAAAUGGACAUUUAAACAGCUAUUAAAACUGUAUUCCACAUGUUCAAGAAACAUGAAGUAAGACUGAACAUGUUAAAGAGGAAUAUUAAAAAUAAAAAGAUGGCCAAGUCAAACAUCUAAAAAAUGAAAAUUACAAUGCCAAAGAAAAAUACUCUCAUGAGAUUAACAGCAGAUUAAACACUGCAGAAGAAAAUGUUACUUUGAAGACUUAGAAACUAUCCAAAAUAACACACAAAAAUUAAAAAGAUCUACCAGAGUCUCAGUGAGCUAAAGACAAAUUCAAAUUGUCUAAUGGACAUGUAACUGGAGCUCCCCAAAAAGAAAGGGAUGGGGAAAUAUUUGAAGACAUAAUAGCCAGACUAUAUUAAAAUGUAGUAUAAUUCAGGCAGCCCUGGUAGCCCAGUGGUUUGGCACUGCCUUCCGCCCAGUGUGUGAUCCUGGAGACCCGGGAUCGAGUCCCACGUUGGACUCCCUGCAUGGAGCCUGCUUCUCCCUCUGCUUGUGUCUCUGCUUCUCUCUCUCUCUCUCUCUCUGUCAUGAAUAAAUAAAUAAAAUCUUCAAAAUAUAUAUAUGUAGUAUAAUACAUAUUAAUGAAAUAUGUAAAGCUACAUAUUCAAGAAGUUCAAUGAAACCCAAGACUAAGAAUCAUAAAUAAAACUACACCAAGACACGUUGUGACCAAAUAACUUACAAUCUUUGUGAUAGAAAAGUCCUAUGGAACAAUAAAAUAUUCAACUAAUCCAAAAGAAAACAUUAAAAAAAGAUGAAAAGCAAAAUAAGGAACAGAUAGAACAAAUAGAAAACAAAUACCAAGAUUUAAACCCCAUCAUAUCAAUAAUCACAUUAAACUGUGAAUGGCCUACAAACAUGACUUAAAGACAGUAAUUAUCAGAUCAGAUUUAAAAAAUACAAAGUAAUACUCAAUUCUGUAUAUUUUUCUGUAUAUUGUCUAUGAAAAGGUUACAUUAAAAAAAUUACAUAAAGAAACUAAGAUAAGGAUGACAUCAGACUUCACAUCAGAAACAGUCAACCUAGAAGAUAGUAGAGAAACAUCCUUAAAGUUCUAAAUGAAAAAAAAAAUCUAUCAACUCAAAUCCUUUAUCUGGCAAAUAUAUCUUUUAAAAACAAAAGUAAAAUAAAGACAUUUUUCAAAUAUACAAAAGCUGAAAGAAUUCAUCAGUAACACAGCUGAAAUACAAGAAAUGAUACAGAAGAAAAAUGCUAUCAGAUGGAAAUUAUAAUCUACACAAAGUAACAAAGAGCACGAAAAAUAGCAACUAUAUGUUUUUAAAACAUUUUUCUUAUUAAGUAUCUUUAAAGAUAAUUGACUAUAUACAGCAAUAACAUAUUGUGGAUUUUGUGAUAUAUAGAGAAAUAAAAUAUACAACAAUAAUGAGUGAAAGGCUGGGGGCGGAAAAUGGGAGUAUGCUAUGGUAAGGGUUUUAUACAGUAUGUAAAGCAGAAUAAAAUUACCAGAAGUUAGAAUGUGAUAAAUUAGAGAUAUUUAUUACAAUCACCAAAGCAACUACUAAAAUAACACAACAAAGACCUCAGAUGGACGACCUCAACUUCUACCUUAAGAAACUAGGGCAGUGGCUGGCUGACUCAGUCAGUAUAGUGUGAAACUCUAUCUCGGGGUUGUGAGUUCAAGUUCCAUAUGGGGUAUAGAGAUUACUUUAAAAAAAAAAUCUUAAAAAAAAAGAUAGAAGCUAGAAACAAAAAAAGACAAAUACCAGGCUAGAAGAAAUGAAAUAAUAAAAAAAAUCAAACUAGAAAUUGAAUGAAUGAGAUAUAGGAAAUCAAUGAAAAGAUUAAUAAAAACAAAAGCUGUCUCUUUAAAAGGAUAAAUAAAAUUGAUAAAUUGCUAGCUGAACUAUUAGGAGAAAGAAAGGGGAACACAGAAAUCACCAAUAUCAGGAAUGGUAGAGACAUCACUAUAUAUUCUACAGAUAUUAAAGGAAAAUAAGAAAAUAUUAAGAACAUUAUGCCAACAUAUGACAAUUUAGAUGAAAUGGACAUAUUUCUUUAAAGAUGCAAACUAGGGCAGCCCGGGUGGCUCAGCGGUUUAGCGCUGCCUUCAGCCCAGGGUGGAUCCUGGAAACACGGGAUGGAGUCUCUCUCGUUGGGCUCCUUGCAGGAAGCCUGCUUCCCCCUCUGCCUGUGUCUCUGCCUCUGUGUGUGUGUGUGUGUGUGUGUGUGUGUGUGUGUGUGUGUGUCUUUCAUGAAUAAAUAAAUAAAAUCUAAAAUAAAUAGAUAAAAAUAAAAUAAAAUCUUAAAAAAAAAAUAAAGAUGCAAACUACCCAAAUUUACUCAAGAAUAAAUACUAACCUAAAUAGCCUAUUAAAUAAAUUGAAUUUGUAAUUUAAAACUUCCCACAAAACAAAUAAACAAAAGCUUCAGGAUCAAAUGGUUUCACUUGAGAAUCUAACCAAGAACUUAUGAAAAAAAUGAUAUCCGUUCUACACAAACUUUUCCACAGAAUUGAAUAGGAGGUAAUACCUUCCAACUUAUUGCAUGAGGCCAGAAGUUUUCUGGUAUGAAACCAAGACAGAUGUUAUAACAAAAGAAAACCAUAAACCAGUAUCCUACAUGCACAUAGAUGCAAAAAUUUUAAAUAACAUUUUAGCAAAUCAAAUUCAAUAAUAUAUUAAAAAGAUAACAAAACAUGAUCAAAAAGGGUUCAUUCAAAGAAAAUAAGGUUUGGUUUAACAUUCAAAAAUCAAUGUAAUUUACCACAUUAACAGACUAAAAAGUAAAAAUCAUAUGAUCAUCUCAACAAUUCAGUAAGAGCAUUUGACAAAAAUUAAAUAAGCAUAUCUGCUAAGAACUCUUAGCGAAGAAGGACUCGGAGGUAACUUCCUCAACUUGAAAACUUACAGUACUAUAGAAAACUUACAGUUAAUAUUAUACUUAAUGGAGAAAGUUUGAAAGCUUUCUCCUUAAGACUAGGAAAAAGGCAGUGAUGCCUUCCUUACCAUAUCUAUUCAGCAUUAUACUGGAAAUUUUAGCCAGUUCAAUAAGGCAAGUAAAAGAAAUAAAAUGUCUCCAAACUGGAAAAGAAAAGUUGCCUCUAUUUGCAAACAAAAUCCCUCAUAAAUUUCAAAAAACAAAAAUAACUAUUAGAGCCAAUUUAACAAGGUUUCAGGUUAUAAUAUUUUAUUUGUAUACACUAGCAAUGAAUAAUUAAAAUUUUGAAAUGUUUAAAGCAAUACAGUUUAAAAAUCCAAAAAAGAAUUUUAUUCAAUACCUCAUCAAAAUCUAUGGGAUGCAGCAAAAGUAGUUCUAAGAGAGAAGCUUAUAGCAAUACAGGUCUAUCUCAACAAACAAGAAAAGAACAAUUAAUAAAAUGGCAAUAAGUAUAUACCUAUAAAUUUAUAAUUUCUCUAAAUGUAUAUGGACUAAAUUCUAAAUUGAAACACAUGGCACAAUUAUAUGGAUAAAAAACAAAACAACAACAAAAAUAAGAUCAAUCUAUAUGCUGUCUACAAGAGACCCAUCUCAGUUGUAAAGCCAUAUGACCCAGUAAUUCUACUUCUGGGUAUUUACCCAAAGAAAAUAAAAACACUAAUUCAAAGAAGUAUAUAUGCACUCUCAAGUUCAUUGCAGCAUUAUUUACAAUAGUCAGGAUAUGGAAAUAACACAAUUGUCCAUUGAUGGAUGAAUGAGUAAAGAAUAUGUGAUAUACAUAUCACAUAUAUAUCAUAUUACAUAUAUAUCAUAUAUAUGCAUAUAUAUAUAUACACAUACCACGGAAUACUACUCAGCCUUAAAAAAGAAUAAAAUCUUGCCAUUUGUAACAACAUGGAUGGACCUUGAGAGUAUUAUGCCAAGUGAAAUAAGUCAGACACAGAGAGGCAAAUAUCAAAUACCAUAUGAUUUCAGUUAUAUGUGGAAUCUAAAAAAUAAAACAAAACAAAACCUAUAGAUGCAAAA